AUGGGGAGACCGAGAGAGCGUCCCAGAGACUUUGAGAGUCCAGAAAAUGGCCUGGUGCUUAAAGAGAGGGCGUACUGGAAGAAACAACUCCAUGAGCUGCAACAGAAAUGUGACAAGCUGGGAAGACAAGUGUUCUACGCUGAACAGCACAACAGAGACUUAAACGACAAACUCCAGCAGGUCAAAGAGCUGAACAAGAAAAAGGAUGAAGAGACAGCGUCUCUACAACAGCAACUGGAUUUGAGAAAAGGCUUCAACCAGACAGGUGAAAUCCAGGAUGAACUGAAUGAGGUUGAUGAUCAGCCCAAAAAAGUCGACAUCGGUCUUCAGACUGUUGAAAUCCAGGAGGAACUGAAUGGGGUCGAUGAUCAGCCCAAAAAAGUCGACAUCGGCCUUCAGACUGUUGAAAUCCAGGAGGAACUGAAUGAGGUCGAUGAUCAGCCCAAGAAAGUCGACAUCGGGCUUCAGAUCAAUAUUCCUGUGACUGACAUCAGUGACUCCCAAGAGCUGCAAAACUCUGAAGGGAGCCUUGAAGAGGAGGUGGGACAACUCAGAGAGGUCCUGCCAGAAAGAGAGGAGCAGUUCAGGGAAAAGAGCUUGAGGAGUGAAGCUCAUGUGGACACCUUGGCCUUGCUGACCCAGACUGAGGCUGCUCUGAGAGAGAGUGAGGAAAAGAGCUCCAGGCUGGAGAAAGAGCUCCAGGUAAUAGUGGCUGAACAGGGCCAGAAACAACUCUCCAGAAAAGAAGAGAGUGUCAGCACGGAGCCCUGUGGACCAGAUAACACGGCCAUAAACCACCUGUACGACCUCUGUGACCACUGGGAGAACAUUAUAAACCAGAUGAUCCAAACAGAGAAAAAAGUACAGGAGGAAAAAAAGGAGGAGACCAGACUCCAGCAGGAGAUUCAGCAUCUCCAUGUGGAGAAGGUCCAGCUUCAGAAAAAGAAGAAAAGCAAAUUCUGGAGCUGGAUACCAAAGUGUUUAUCAAGCUAAAGGUCUCCUGGUCCCCCCCCCUCACCAUCACGCUGUCCCAUUCUUCCACCCAGAUGACAACAGAAACUGGGAUGGAAAGUGAACAUAGUGUUUCCUCAGAUGCAGAAAAAAACAGUUUCUGAACUAAAUCUAUAGCUUCUUUUUUAAUAUCUAUUUUUCCCCAUUAUUGGCUUUUAUUUGUGCUUUGUUCCUUAAUGUGUGUCAACCUUUUACCAUUGCAAUGAUCAUUUGUAAAUAAAAUAUUUAAAAAUGAAUAUAAUUAGAUCAGUUCUUGAUUGAUAAAAUGAUCAAUGAUGAUCAUCUGAACUUCAUCUGAACCUCAUUAUUUCCUGAAACACCAAGGAAAGCUCAUCUCAGCGAUGCUGCUGACAGCCUCCUCUGAAGUCGCAUGUCGUCGCUUCGUCGCUGGCUGUCGUGGUGGUUCCCUGAACACCACGUGUCCUUUGUAGACAAUUGGAACAGUUUUUAGGGAAGCCUGGUCUGAUUCGGAGAGACGGUGGCCAUCACACUCAAGAUGGUGCCUCUCUCAUUUCUAGUAACUUGGCUAAUUUUAUUAGACCCAAAGUGAGCUGACAAACCAGUGUCCAGACCAGGAUGCAGAGUUGUAGUCUUACACACAUCUCUGCUGCUUCCAUAGAACCUUCAUCCACCAACAACAACAUAUUUAACACUAUAGAGGUAGUCUCUGUUCCCCGGUUAAAUGUUCCCCAAACACAGAGCAGGGGAGCGGUCAAUCACCAUAAUCUUAUUAAAAAUAAUACCAAAGCACAAGUUGGAGGAACUAACAUCACGAUUAAAUGUGGACUGUUAAAUAUUAGAUCUCUUUUGUGCAAAUCCCUGUUAGUGCAUCAUCACAUAGUGGAUCAUCAAAUUGAUUUAUUUUGUCUUACUGAGACCUGGCUUCAGAAAGAGGAGUAUGUUAGCUUAAAUGAAUCUACUCCUCCAACCCAUCUUAAUUAUCAUAUUCCUCAUGUUACUGGUCGAGGAGGCGGAGUGGCAGCAAUCUAUCACUCCAAGUUAUUAAUUAAUCCUUGACCAAAAUAUGGCUCCAGGUCAUUUGAAAUCCUGAGUCUUGGCAUCACUCAUCUGAACUGGAGGACAGAAAAGCCACUUCUGUUUGUAGUUGUAUAUCGGCCCCCUGCUGGGCCACAUUCAGAGUUCCUGUCUG
rnacentral:lncRNA from 1 species